GCAAAAUCUCAACUUUAUUAGAAGAGACGCAUUUAUUAGAUAAAAAGCCAAUGCAUGCUUUUUACAGUAUGAAAAUUGGUGAUUUAUAAUAACUUAGCAAAUCGCAUAGUGAAAACAGGCGAUAAAUCAUUCAAGUUUCUGACCUAUCAGCUUUCGACGGUAUGGUAUUGGCUUACCGUGGCAGUGACGGUUAACGGGGGAUUAGGGUUCGAUUCCGGAGAGGGAGCCUGAGAAACGGCUACCACAUCUAAGGAAGGCAGCAGGCGCGCAAAUUACCCAAUUCUAACAGUUUGAGAGAGGUAGUAACAAGAAAUAACAAUACAAGGCAGUUAAAAUGCUUUGUAAUUGGAAUGAUAGAAAUUUAAACCCUUUUUAAAGUAUCAAUUGGAGGGCAAGUCUGGUGCCAGCAGCCGCGGUAAUUCCAGCUCCAAUAGCGUAUAUUAAAAUUGUUGCAGUUAAAAAGCUCGUAGUUGAAGUUCUGCUAAAAGUAACCGGUCUGCUUUGAAUAAAAGUGGUAUCUUGGUAUGUAUUUAGCAAUGAUGUCCUUUGAAGUGUUUUUUACUUUAUUGUAAUAAAAGCAUAUUCAGGACUUUUACUUUGAAAAAAAUUAGAGUGUUUCUAGCAGGCCAACGCUUUGAAAUACUGCAGCAUGGAAUAAUAAGA
rnacentral:rRNA from 1 species